rnacentral:tRNA from 1 species
GCCCGCAUGGCCUAAUGGCUAUGGCGUCCCACUCGUAUUACUAGAGUUCAUGGGGAGAUUCCCGGUUCGAUUCCGGGUGUGGGCA